GCCUGAUGUGGAGGUACAUGCCCGCAAUCCCUUCUGCUGGGGAGGCAAAGGCUGGUGGAUUGCUCCAGUUCAGCAGUUCUGAGAUGCAGGAAGUCUAAUGCUGGCUGGGUGUCCACACUAAGUCUAGCAAGAAUAUGGUGAGUCCUCCAGAAGGCAGGACCACCCAGCUGCCAAGGGAGUGGGAAACCAACCCAAGAGGGAAAAACAGAGCAGGUUAAAGCUUCUGUGCCAGUUGGUAUUGCGAUCAGGCCCAUAAAUGACUACUGAACUUCCAACCUGGGCAAGACUAGGAAACCCAGUCUCC
rnacentral:SRP_RNA from 1 species